UACGUAGGGAGCAAGCGUUGUUCGGAAUUACUGGGCGUAAAGGGCGCGUAGGCGGCCUUCUAAGUCGAACGUGAAAUCCCUGGGCUCAGCCCAGGAACUGCGUCCGAGACUGGAAGGCUCGAAUCCGGGAGAGGGAUGUGGAAUUCCAGGUGUAGCGGUGAAAUGCGUAGAUAUCUGGAGGAACAUCGGUGGCGAAGGCGGCAUCCUGGACCGGUAUUGACGCUGAGGCGCGAAAGCCAGGGGAGCAAACGGG
rnacentral:rRNA from 1 species